rnacentral:rRNA from 1 species
GAUGAACGCUGGCGGCGUGCCUAAUACAUGCAAGUCGAGCGAACAGACGAGGAGCUUGCUCCUUCGACGUUAGCGGCGGACGGGUGAGUAACACGUAGGUAACCUACCUAUAAGACUGGGAUAACUUCGGGAAACCGGAGCUAAUACCGGAUAAUAUUUCGAACCGCAUGGUUCGAUAAUGAAAGAUGGCUUUGCUAUCACUUAUAGAUGGACCUGCGCCGUAUUAGCUAGUUGGUAAGGUAACGGCUUACCAAGGCAACGAUACGUAGCCGACCUGAGAGGGUGAUCGGCCACACUGGAACUGAGACACGGUCCAGACUCCUACGGGAGGCAGCAGUAGGGAAUCUUCCGCAAUGGGCGAAAGCCUGACGGAGCAACGCCGCGUGAGUGAUGAAGGUCUUCGGAUCGUAAAACUCUGUUAUUAGGGAAGAACAAACGUGUAAGUAACUGUGCACGUCUUGACGGUACCUAAUCAGAAAGCCACGGCUAACUACGUG